ACAGCAGUAGCCGCGGUAAUACGGAGGGAGCUAGCGUUAUUCGGAAUUACUGGGCGUAAAGCGCACGUAGGCGGCUUUGUAAGUUAGAGGUGAAAGCCUGGAGCUCAACUCCAGAAUUGCCUUUAAGACUGCAGAGCUAGCAGGUGAGAGAGGUGAGUGGAAUUCCGAGUGUAGAGGUGAAAUUCGUAGAUAUUCGGAAGAACACCAGUGGCGAAGGCGGCUCACUGGCUCAUACUGGACGCUGAGGUGCGAAAGCGUGGGGAGCAAACAGGAUUAGAUACCCGAGUAGUCCCUGUCUCUUAUAA
rnacentral:rRNA from 1 species